rnacentral:tRNA from 3 species
GGAGAGUUAUCGAAGUGGUCAUAACGAGGCGGUCUUGAAAACCGUUUGGGCUCACGCCCACGUGGGUUCGAAUCCCACACUCUCCGCCA